rnacentral:rRNA from 1 species
AUUGAACGCUGGCGGCAUGCCUUACACAUGCAAGUCGAACGGUAACAGGUCUUCGGAUGCUGACGAGUGGCGCACGGGUGAGUAAUACAUCGGAACGUGCCCGAUCGUGGGGGAUAACGAGGCGAAAGCUUUGCUAAUACCGCAUACGAUCUACGGAUGAAAGCGGGGGAUCUUCGGACCUCGCGCGGCCGGAGCGGCCGAUGGCAGCUUAGGUAGUUGGUGGGAUAAAAGCUUACCAAGCCGACGAUCUGUAGCUGGUCUGAGAGGAUGAUCAGCCACACUGGGACUGAGACACGGCCCAGACUCCUACGGGAGGCAGCAGUGGGGAAUUUUGGACAAUGGGCGAAAGCCUGAUCCAGCCAUGCCGCGUGCAGGAUGAAGGCCUUCGGGUUGUAAACUGCUUUUGUACGGAACGAAAAGCCUCUUUCUAAUAAAGAGGGGUCAUGACGGUACCGUAAGAAUAAGCACCGGCUAACUACGUG